GACGAACGCUGGCGGCGUGCCUAAUACAUGCAAGUCGAGCGGACGUUGUUGGAGCUUGCUCCAACAAUGUUAGCGGCGGACGGGUGAGUAACACGUGGGCAACCUGCCUUAACGACUAGGAUAACUCCGGGAAACCGGGGCGAAUACCGGAUAACAUCUAGCACCCCCUGGUGCAAGAUUAAACGAGGGCCUCUCGCUCCCACGUUAAGAUGGGCCCGGGGCGCAUUAGCUAGUUGGAGAGGUAGUGGCUCCCCAAGGCGACGAUGCGUAGCCGACCGGAGAGGGUGAUCGGCCACACUGGGACUGAGACACGGCCCAGACUCCUACGGGAGGCAGCAGUAGGGAAUCUUCCGCAAUGGACGAAAGUCUGACGGAGCUACGCCGCGUGAGUGAAGAAGGGUUUCGGCUCGUAAAGCUCUGUUAUGAGGGAAGAACACGUACCGUUCGAAUAGGGCGGUACCUUGACGGUACCUCAUCAGAAAGCCACGGCUAACUACGUGCCAGCCGCCGCCGUAACAC
rnacentral:rRNA from 1 species